AGCCAACAGACACGCAGGUAGAGGCGUCCAGCAUCUGUCCUGUUUUAUUUAAGCCCUGGACUUCUGCAGGCUCAGCUGGGCCUGAGGGUAGGCACUUGGGAGGCAGAGACAGUAGCAUCAAGAGGCUGCCCUGGGCUACAUAUGAGGCCUUGUUUCAAAGAAAAAAAACAAAAAAUUUAUUUUGAGGAGCUUCGGGAACGUCAGGCCCGCCCAGCCAGAGCUCCCCUCCUCUAUCCUGGCCUCCUCUCCCGCCCUCGGCAGUGAGGGACCCAGGGAGAACCUUCGAGGCAGUGGCCGAGCCCCUUGUUACCUCUUCUCACUUCCUGUGGCCCCUCUGCCGAGGACCAGCUUCUGCCCUCGGAGCUGCUGGCCUGGAUCUUAACUUAUACAGUGGUAUCCAGAACUUGGUUCCUCGAAUCAUUAAAGCAGAAUCAGGAGCCCAGACUGAGUUCCAACAGGCAGACAGCAGAGCAGUAAUUAGCAGUUCACUACCGGAUGCAUCCUGUGGGCUCUGCAAGGGGAAGGAAGCCUGCGGAUGACGCCAGGUGCACUGGGACGGGCGGUCCAGUCCCGUGGAGCUCCCUGGUGUGGCCACAGCCCUCCCUGGCCAUGCAUCAAAUACCCAGAAGAGAGGACGUUCAGCUGGGUGUGAUAUAAAUUUCUGACCUGUUCCCUUCAACCAGGUCUGCUCAUUUCACUGCUUGUUACCUUCAUCGUGCUGUCAACCCCUGCUGUUCCUUUUUCUCUUCCUUCUCAUAUUUGAGGCUCACACUGAGCUUCAUCUCUAGAUCUGUGACCUUUGUUCCUCUCUAAAGUGACUUGGCUCUUUCAUCUUAGUUCCUUCUCCCCUCCCAGUUCUGCCUCUUGAAAGGGAGCUGCUGGUUAGCAGAAGAUGAAUCUAUUCUGUGAGAGGCAGAGGUUGGCACAAGGGUGCGAUUGUGCACUUUGACUUCUGUUCAGGAAAGAAAUAAAAUAAUGGAAGAGCAUCAAAUCCUUAGCAAAGGAAGGAAAUCUGCUUAAAACACUAAUAAAACAGAUUUGAAAAGAAUUACUUUUAGUUAAAAAGAGAUGCUUUAUUUUUUAGGUAUAGUAUGAAACACACACUAGGAAAUAGCAUAAUCUAUGUUUAUUUCUGUUGAAAAGACCUGAUAGUUACUUUUCCUUAAAUAUUUAUCAUCUGGGAAGCCAAGAGGUGUCCAGGCUGAGCUUGUUGCUGAUGAAGGAGCAGCUACAAAGGGGCUAAGACGUGGUUCCCGUUCUCUAGAAGCUUGCAACCGAAUCAGGGAGAGAGACGUGAAAGCAAACAUGUUUGUCAGCUUUCUGUCACUGUGACUAAAUACCCGAACAACAAUCCAAAGGCGGAAAGACUUCUUUCACCUCGAGUUACGUUUCACAGUCGGGCAACUCCAUCGCUGAGGCAGAACCGUCAUAGCUGCUCACCUCACGGCACUAGGAAGCAGAGAGCAGGAGCCUCAGUGAAUGGAGUUCCUGCUGCUACUUUUGUUCCAUCCGGGCUCCCAUCCUACAUGAUGGUGCCACCCAGCAUCAUGGCUAUCCCAUGGUGCCAAUCAUCUCUAGAAACACUGUCACAGACACACCCAGAAGUAUGAUUUACUAAUUUCCUAGGCAUUCUCAAUCCGAUCAAGUUGACGAUCAAGAUUACCUGUCACAUCAAGAUAGCAUAUGUCAUGAUACACGCUUUAUGGUAGCUCAUGGAGCUGCUUUUCCUAAGCAAUCUCCCCCGUACUUGACAACACAUAUGCACCAAUUUCUAGCUUGGCAAAGGUGGUCACUUUGGGUAUACGAUUAUAUAUGAAGGACUUUGUAAACUUAGGAAGGAAAAUCUCUUUAUUCCAGAGAAAGUCAGGCAAAGAAAACUUCAAAAAUGUUACAUUGAAGUAUGGAAUGGAAAGGUGGAAGGAACACUCUACAAGCAGAUGACGUCACAGACAUGAAUCCACUGGCAAUUCCCACCAUCCCUCUGAGCUGAUUGAUAAGCUCAUUGUCCUUGGGACAGUGUUCCGGAACCUUGGAAUUUCUCCAGGACCCACCUGACACGUGUGACAUCACAUAAGCCUGUCUGCCUGCAUAACUCUGGCUCUGUAUUUGGGCCCUGUCUCUGUGCAG